rnacentral:rRNA from 1 species
AUUGAACGCUGGCGGCAGGCCUAACACAUGCAAGUCGAGCGGCAGCGGAAAGUAGCUUGCUACUUUGCCGGCGAGCGGCGGACGGGUGAGUAAUGUCUGGGAAACUCCCUGAUGGAGGGGGAUAACUACUGGAAACGGUAGCUAAUACCGCAUAAUGUCGCAAGACCAAAGAGGGGGACCUUCGGGCCUCUUGCCAUCAGAUGUGCCCAGAUGGGAUUAGCUAGUAGGUGGGGUAACGGCUCGCCUAGGCGACGAUCCCUAGCUGGUCUGAGAGGAUGGACAGCCACACGGGAACUGUGACACGGUCCAGACGCCUCCGGGAGGCAGCAGUGGGGAAGAUUGCACAAUGGGCGCAAGCCUGAUGCAGCCAUGCCGCGUGUAUGAAGAAGGCCUUCGGGUUGUAAAGUACUUUCAGCGGGGAGGAAGGUGUUGAGGUUAAUAACCUCAGCAAUUGACGUUACCCGCAGAAGAAGAACCGGCUAACUCCGUGCCAGCCGCCGCCGUAA